UAAUACGGAGGAUCCGAGCGUUAUCCGGAUUUACUGGGUUUAAAGGGUGCGUAGGCGGGCGCUUAAGUCAGCGGUGAAAUGCGGGGGCUCAACCUUCGAACGGCCGUUGAUACUGGGCGCCUUGGAUUCGGUCGAGGCGGGCGGAAUGCGACAUGUAGCGGUGAAAUGCUUAGAUAUGUCGCAGAACGCCGAUUGCGAAGGCAGCUCGCCGGGCCGAUAUUGACGCUGAGGCACGAAAGCGUGGGGAUCGAACAGGAUUAGAUACCCUGGUAGUCCACGCCGUAAACGAUGAUGGCUGGAUGUUGGCGAUACACCGUCAGCGUCUGAGGGAAACCAUUAAGCCAUCCACCUGGGGAGUACGGCCGCAAGGCUGAAACUCAAAUGAAUUGACGG
rnacentral:rRNA from 1 species